rnacentral:rRNA from 1 species
ACGAACGUUGGCGGCGUGGAUAAGGCAUGCAAAAGUCGAUCGAGAAAGCAUCUUCGGAUGUGAGUAAAGAGGCGGACGGGUGAGUAACACGUAAUCAAGUUGCCCUUGAGACUGGGAUAACAGCGGGAAACUGCUGCUAAUACCGGAUGGUCCUGCCGGACCGCAUGGUCUGGCAGGUAAAUGAUUGGGAUCCUUCGGGACCUUUUGCUCAAGGAGACGUUGCGCUCUAUCAGCUUGUUGGUGAGGUAACGGCUCACCAAGGCUACGACGGAUAGCAGGCCUGAGAGGGUGGUCUGCCACACUGGGACUGAGACACUGCCCAGACUCCUACGGGAGGCUGCAGUCGAGAAUCUUCCGCAAUGGGCGAAAGCCUGACGGAGCGACGCCGCGUGAAGGACGAAGGCCCUAGGGUUGUAAACUUCUGUCGCGAAUUAUGAAAUGCCUGAGGUUAAUAGCUUCAGGUUUGACGUAAGUUUGAAAGGAAGCACCGGCUAACUCUGUGCCAGCAGCCGCGGUAAUACAGAGGGUGCAAACGUUGUUCGGAAUCACUGGGCAUAAAGGGCGCGUAGGCGGCACGUCAAGUGUGGAGUGAAAUCCCACGGCUCAACCGUGGAACUGCUUCGCAAACUGGCGAGCUCGAGGACGGUAGGGGAGAGCGGAACUCUUGGAGGAGCGGUGAAAUGCGUAGAUAUCAAGAGGAACACCAAUGGCGAAGGCAGCUCUCUGGUCCGUUUCUGACGCUGAGGCGCGAAAGCUAGGGUAGCGAACGGGAUUAGAUACCCCGGUAGUCCUAGCCGUAAACGAUGAGCACUAGCUAGGGGUCCUUCCUGUGGGGUCCCUGGCGAAGCAAAUGUACUAAGUGCUCCGCCUGGGGAGUAUGGUCGCAAGGCUAAAACUCAAAGGAAUUGACGGGGGCUCACACAAGCGGUGGAGCAUGUGGUUUAAUUCGAUGCAACGCGAAGAACCUUACCCAGCCUUGACAUCCAGGCAUAACUUUGGUGAAAGCAGGGGGAUUGCCUUCGGGUGUAACCUAGACAGGUGUUGCAUGGCUGUCGUCAGCUCGUGUCGUGAGAUGUCGGGUUAAGUCCCUUAACGAGCGAAACCCCUAUUACUAGUUGCCAGCGGGUAAAGCCGGGGACUCUAGUGAGACUGCCGUUGUUAAGACGGAGGAAGGUGGGGAUGACGUCAAGUCAUCAUGGCCCUUACGGCUGGGGCUACACACGUGCUACAAUGGUCCGGACAAAGGGAUGCGAGCCCGCGAGGUCAAGCAAACCCCCUAAACCGGGCCUCAGUUCGGAUUGUAGGCUGAAACUCGCCUGCAUGAAGUCGGAAUCGCUAGUAAUCGCGGAUCAGCUACGCCGC